UGUGAUUGGAAGUUGUCAAUUGUUGAAGCAUUGGUAACUCCAGUCUCUAACGUUUUAGAAAAUCAUAACAAGCGGUUCUCUACCCUGUAAAGAUUUAUGUGAUCCCAAUGCAAUGCAAUGCAAUUCCAAUAAGAAUCCCCAUAUGGUUUUUGAGGAACUCAGAUGGAAAUGUGAAGGGUUCAUGUCCUUGGUAAGGUGAACUACUGAGUUCUUCAUUAUGUCUGAUGGAGAUUAUGAUUACCUCAUCAAGUUUUUAGCUUUGGGAGACUCUGGUGUAGGGAAGACCAGUGUACUUUACCAAUAUACAGAUGGUAAAUUUAACUCCAAAUUUAUCACAACAGUGGGCAUUGAUUUCAGGGAAAAAAGAGUGGUGUACAGAGCCAGUGGGCCGGAUGGAGCCACUGGCAGAGGCCAGAGAAUCCACCUGCAGUU
rnacentral:lncRNA from 1 species